ACUAAACAAAGCCUAAGAUUUUUGUGCAUUGUCUGCCUUGCAGCAUUGAAGAAACUUUUGGUCGAUAUUGGGACCUUGCCAACACAUUGAAUGAUCUCAAUAUUGAGGCACGAGACUCGAGGGUUGACUGCAAUAUACAGAAAGGGCAGCCAUCUGCUGGACGGUUACCUGACCAGCUAAUAAAUAUCGUUGCCCAAUGGGGGAUGGAAGCAAAUGCAAACGGGAUGAGCAUGGCUGACAUAAGAAGCUUGGAGGAAAUAAUUACCGACGCUCUGUCAGCUAUAAGGAACAAACUGAUGAUGAAGGUGAUUGGUUGCCCAAACCUGUCAUUUGUGUGAACUAGAUUUUGCAGCAGAAAGAAGAAAAGCAGAAGGCCUCUGAAGACGAGGGGACUAUAUGUGGACUCCAAAGAGAAGAGUAGCUCGAAACUGGAAAUAUAUGUGUAUGUGUGACUAUGUGUAUAUACAUAUUUGCCAGCUCCAAUCCUGCAGGAUUCGGAAACAGGUUUAAUUGGGGCCAUUCAUAGUCAUGGUCAGCAACUCUCAGAUUAGAAAACUAGUAAUUUCCCUUGAACAUGGUCCGUGUAUAUGUUUGUGUCGACACUUUGCACUGUUGCAACCACGUGCACACGUCUCAAUUCUCAGCGUGUAUGUGUGUUUGCAUAAACGUACGUGGAAAAGAUGACUCCUUCCGAAAUCCCAGAUAUGUUUUAUGUAAA